UGGGAGAUGUAUGCAAUAGCUACUUGCAUCAUUGCUACAGAUGAUGCAAGAUCGACUAAGUCGAAUAAAAUUCUAGGUAGAAUUAUGAUAAUGACAUUGUCUGCCUAUGUGUCUUGACCAAAUUACGUGCCAGCAGUCGCGGUAAUACGUAGUAGACUAGUGUUAUUCAUGUUUAAUCGGUUUAAAGGGUACCUAGACGGUAGAUCAAGCUUUUAUAUAUAAAUUAUGUUAAUUAAAGGACUAAUUUACUAGAGUUACUUACGAGGGGGCAUUAAAGUACUGCUGGUGUAGAGAUGAAAUUCUGUCAUACCUCUUUUCGAAAGAAAAAUCAUGGCACUGGUAUAGGCGAAGGCAUCCCCUUAUGUGAUAACUGACGUUGAGGGACGAAGGCUUUGUGUAACAAACAGGAUUAGAUACCCUAGUAGUUGAAGCAGAAAAUGAUGAAUGUCAUAGAUUAGAUAUAUAAGUUUAUUCUAUAAAUGAAAGUGUAAGCAUUCCACCUCAUGAGUAAUUUGGCAACAUUGGAAUUGAAAUCAUUAGACCGUUUCUGAAACCAGUAGUGAAGUAUGUUGUUUAAUUUGAUGGUCCGCAAAA
rnacentral:rRNA from 1 species